CCUACGGGAGUCUGCAGUGAGGAAUAUUGGUCAAUGGCCGCAGGGCUGAACCAGCCAAGUCGCGUGAGGGAUGACGGUCCUAUGGAUUGUAAACCUCUUUUGUCAGGGAGCAAAGGGCGCCACGUGUGGCGCUUUGCGAGUACCUGAAGAAAAAGCAUCGGCUAACUCCGUGCCAGCAGCCGCGGUAAUACGGAGGAUGCGAGCGUUAUCCGGAUUUAUUGGGUUUAAAGGGUGCGCAGGCGGAAUGUCAAGUCAGCGGUAAAAUUUCGGGGCUCAACCCCGUCGUGCCGUUGAAACUGGCGUUCUUGAGUGAGCGAGAAGUAUGCGGAAUGCGUGGUGUAGCGGUGAAAUGCAUAGAUAUCACGCAGAACUCCGAUUGCGAAGGCAGCAUACCGGCGCUCAACUGACGCUCAUGCACGAAAGCGUGGGUAUCGAACAGGAUUAGAUACCCGAGUAGUC
rnacentral:rRNA from 1 species